rnacentral:rRNA from 1 species
GCUUAACACAUGCAAGUCGAACGGAAAGGCCCUGCUUUUGUGGGGUGCUCGAGUGGCGAACGGGUGAGUAACACGUGGGUAAUCUGCCCUGCACUCUGGGAUAAGCCUGGGAAACUGGGUCUAAUACUGGAUAUUCACUGCUGAUCGCAUGGUUGGUGGUGGAAAGAUUUUUCGGUUGGGGUUGGACUCGCGGCCUAUCAGCUUGUUGGUGGGGUAGUGGCCUACCAAGGCGGCGACGGGUAGCCGGCCUGAGAGGGUGACCGGCCACACUGGGACUGAGACACGGCCCAGACUCCUACGGGAGGCAGCAGUGGGAAUAUUGCACAAUGGGCGGAAGCCUGAUGCAGCAACGCCGCGUGCGGGAUGACGGCCUUCGGGUUGUAAACCGCUUUCGCCUGUGACGAAGCGUGAGUGACGGUAAUGGGUAAAGAAGCACCGGCUAACUACGUGCCAGCAGCCGCGGUGAUACGUAGGGUGCGAGCGUUGUCCGGAUUUAUUGGGCGUAAAGGGCUCGUAGGUGGUUGAUCGCGUCGGAAGUGUAAUCUUGGGGCUUAACCCUGAGCGUGCUUUCGAUACGGGUUGACUUGAGGAAGGUAGGGGAGAAUGGAAUUCCUGGUGGAGCGGUGGAAUGCGCAGAUAUCAGGAGGAACACCAGUGGCGAAGGCGGUUCUCUGGGCCUUUCCUGACGCUGAGGAGCGAAAGCGUGGGGAGCGAACAGGCUUAGAUACCCUGGUAGUCCACGCUGUAAACGGUGGGUACUAGGUGUGGGGUCCAUUCCACGGGUUCCGUGCCGUAGCUAACGCUUUAAGUACCCCGCCUGGGGAGUACGGCCGCAAGGCUAAAACUCAAAGGAAUUGACGGGGCCCCGCACAAGCGGCGGAGCAUGCGGAUUAAUUCGAUGCAACGCGUAGAACCUUACCUGGGUUUGACAUGGAUCGGGAGUGCUCAGAGAUGGGUGUGCCUCUUUUGGGGUCGGUUCACAGGUG